UACGGGGGGGGCAAGCGUUGUUCGGAAUUACUGGGCGUAAAGGGCGCGUAGGCGGCACUGUUAGUCAGGCGUGAAAGUCCUGGGCUUAACCUGGGAACUGCGCUUGAUACGGCAGAGCUAGAGGAUGGAAGAGGGUCGCGGAAUUCCCAGUGUAGAGGUGAAAUUCGUAGAUAUUGGGAAGAACACCGGUGGCGAAGGCGGCGACCUGGUCCAUUACUGACGCUGAGGCGCGACAGCGUGGGGAGCAAACAGG
rnacentral:rRNA from 1 species